GAGGGACUGACUGACAGCCUCGGGAGCUUACGCGCAUCCCUGAAGCGGGCGCCAGCAAGUCCUUGGGGAAAACGCUGCCUGUACCCAAACCAUAACCACGCGCUUGUCCCCUGCGAAGUGCUUCCCGAAAGACCCCCAAGGCAAUUUUAAAGUUGCGGACACCUGAACCUGCUCCAGAGCUGGCUGGAAGCAGGAGCUGCCUCCCCAGGAUGGGGCAGAAUUUGCAUCUCUCCACUUUCAAUUUAAGGUGAACAAAGCAGAAAAGCAAGUAACUUAUCACGAUCAAAAUGCAACAUCUGAUUCCCUUACACCUACCAGGAGGACAGUGCCUAUUCCACACAGAGCCAGAAACCUGGAGAGAGGAAACAAAGAAUUGGAAGCUCUGAAGUUGAAUAUACAUGAGAAAAGCAAAUAAAACUGUCUCUCAUCAAGCCAGGAUGAAGAUGUGGUAACCUGUUAAACUGACAGGCUGAUUCGAACAAAACCCAGACAGCUCCUGGUGAGCAUGAAAUAGAAUUGGUUUCUUAUUUG
rnacentral:lncRNA from 10 species